AUUGAACGCUGGCGGCAGGCUUAACACAUGCAAGUCGAGCGGGGUGAUGGUGCUUGCACUAUCACUUAGCGGCGGGCGGGUGAGUAAUGCUUAGGAAUCUGCCUAUUAGUGGGGGACAACAUCUCGAAAGGGCUGCUAAUACCGCAUACGUCCUACGGGAGAAAGCAGGGGAUCACUUGGUACCUGGCGCUCAUAGAUGAGCCUACGUCGGAUUAGCUAGUUGGUGGGGUAAAGGCCUACCAAGGCGACGAUAUGUAGCGGGCGUGAGAGGAUGAGACGCCAGACUGGGACUGAGACACGGCCCAGACUCCUACGGGAGGCAGCAGUGGGGAAUAUUGGACAAUGGGGGGAACCCUGAUCCAGCCAUGCCGCGUGUGUGAAGAAGGCCUUAUGGUUGUAAAGCACUUUAAGCGAGGAGGAGGCUCUUUUGGUUAAUACCCAAGAUGAGUGGACGUUACUCGCAGAAUAAGCACCGGCUAACUCUGUGCCAGCCGCCGCAGUAAUAC
rnacentral:rRNA from 1 species